rnacentral:rRNA from 1 species
UACGUAGGUGGCAAGCGUUGUUCGGAAUGACUGGGCGUAAAGGGCGUGUAGGUGGACUGAUCAGUCGGGUGUGAAAUAUCCAGGCUCAACCUGGAGGGUGCAUCCGAUACGGUCAGUCUUGAGUGCAGGAGAGGGCAGUGGAAUUCCCAGUGUAGCGGUGAAAUGCGUAGAUAUUGGGAGGAACACCAGUGGCGAAGGCGGCUGCCUGGACUGUAACUGACACUGAGGCGCGAAAGCGUGGGGAGCAAACAGGA